rnacentral:rRNA from 1 species
AGAGUUUGAUCAUGGCUCAGAGUGAACGCUGGCGGCGUGCUUAACACAUGCAAGUCGAACGAGAACGGGCCUAGCUUGCUAGGCUGUCAGCUAAGUGGCGCACGGGUGAGUAAUGUAUAGUUGAUCUGCCCCUUGGAGGGGGAUAGCCAUUGGAAACGAUGAUUAAUACCCCAUACUCCUAUGUACGUAAGGUAUAUAGGGAAACGUCUUUUCGCCAAGGGAUGAGACUAUAUGGCAUCAGGUAGUUGGUGGGGUAAUGGCCCACCAAGCCAAUGACGCCUAGCUGGUCUGAGAGGAUGAUCAGCCACACUGGUACUGAGACACGGACCAGACUCCUACGGGAGGCAGCAGUGGGGAAUAUUGCACAAUGGAGGAAACUCUGAUGCAGCAACGCCGCGUGGAGGAUGACGCAUUUCGGUGUGUAAACUCCUUUUAUAUGGGAAGAUAAUGACGGUACCAUAUGAAUAAGCACCGGCUAACUCCGUGCCAGCAGCCGCGGUAAUAUGGAGGGUGCAAGCGUUACUCGGAAUCACUGGGCGUAAAGCGCGCGCAGGCGGUUUGAUAAGUUGGAUGUGAAAUCCUAUGGCUCAACCAUAGAACUGCAUCCAAAACUGUCAAACUAGAGUCUGGGAGAGGAAGAUGGAAUUAGUUGUGUAGGGGUAAAAUCCCGUAGAGAUAACUAGGAAUACCAAAAGCGAAGGCGAUCUUCUGGAACAGUACUGACGCUGAGGCGCGAAAGCGUGGGGAGCAAACAGGAUUAGAUACCCUGGUAGUCCACGCCCUAAACGAUGAAUGUUAGUCGUUGGAGUCCUAGUGACUUCAGUGAUGCAGCUAACGCAUUAAGCAUUCCGCCUGGGGAGUACGGUCGCAAGAUUAAAA